UACGGAGGGUGCAAGCGUUAUCCGGAUUCACUGGGUUUAAAGGGUGCGUAGGUGGGUUGGGAAGUCAGUGGUGAAAUACUUUCGCUUAACGAAGGAACUGCCAUUGAUACUAUCAAUCUUGAAUGUAGUGGAGGUAGGCGGAAUGCGUCAUGUAGCGGUGAAAUGCUUAGAUAUGACGCAGAACACCAAUUGCGAAGGCAGCUUGCUACACUACUAUUGACACUGAGGCACGAAAGCGUGGGGAGCAAACAGG
rnacentral:rRNA from 1 species